UCUAUAGACAGUUGAAAUCGUUUCUAGGAUUUAGAAGCUUGCAAAGAAGCAAAACAAAUGGAACAAUUACAGUUGACCUUUGAACACAAGAGUCUGAACUACACAGGUCCACUUGUCAGCAUAUUUUUUUCAACAAUAAAUACUACAGUACUACACGAUCCACAGUUGGCUGGAUCCAUGAAUAUGGAACCAGGGAUACCAGAGGAACCGCAGAUUCAGAGGAGCCUUGGAUGAGGAGGAACCGGGGAUAUGGAGGGCCAACUAUAAACUGUACAUGGAUUUUCACCUGUGAGGAGGAUUUUGAGACCUAAAUGCAAAGUUCAUUCUAAGUGUUAAUAUGUUGAAACAACGGUUAUUUAUUUGGAGCCCUGAAUGAAUUGCCAUCUGGAGAAGUCACCAAGCAGCUUUCCUUGAGCUCUGGGCUUGCCAAAAACACUACUCGGGAAAACAAUUCAAAAAAACUUAAUAGGGCUUCCCUGGUGGCACAGUGGUUGAGAGUCCGCCUGCCGAUGCAGGGGAUACGGGUUCGUGCCCCGGUCCAGGAAGAUCCCACAUGCCGCAGAGCAGCUAGGCCCGUGAGCCAUGGCCGCUGAGCCUGCGUUCCGCAACGGGAGAGGCCACAACAGUGAGAGGCCCGUGUACCACCAAAAAAAAAAAAACUUAUUAAAAAAAUAA